rnacentral:rRNA from 1 species
CCUACGGGAGGCAGCAGUGAGGAAUAUUGGUCAAUGGACGAGAGUCUGAACCAGCCAAGUAGCGUGAAGGAUGACUGCCCUAUGGGUUGUAAACUUCUUUUAUAUGGGAAUAAAAUGUUCCACGUGUGGGAUUUUGUAUGUAACAUAUGAAUAAGGAUCGGCUCACUCCGUGCCAGCAGCCGCGGUAAUACGGAGGAUCCGAGCGUUAUCCGGAUUUCUUGGGUUUACAGGGAGCGUAGGUGGAUUGUUAAGUCAGUUGUGAAAGUUUGCGGCUCAACCGUAAAAUUGCAGUUGAAACUGGCAGUCUUGAGUACAGUAGAGGUGGGCGGAAUUCGUGGUGUAGCGGUGAAAUGCUUAGAUAUCACGAAGAACUCCGAUUGCGAAGGCAGCUCACUGGACUGCAACUGACACUGAGGCUCGAAAGUGUGGGUAUCAAACAGGAUUAGAUACCCGAGUAGUC